rnacentral:lncRNA from 1 species
CUGGGGGCAGGACGCUUUCCCGGUGAAUUGCGCGACGCAGCCGCGCGCCCCGGCUCAGAGUUAACUUUCGCUGAAGGAGGGACCCAUCAGCCGCCCUCUCCGCUCUCUGCCUCUCCUGAAGCAUCGGGGAGAUUUUUGCCUUCCUCCGCUCUGCCUUGCGUGGGAAAGGAAUCCGCGUCACCUAGCCGGGGCAUCGCAUGCUUGCAGCUCGGCAGCUGCAGAAACUUGCACCGGUACCCCACAAGAGACUAGCCUGUUCCAGGACUCUGCUAUACCCUGUGUUUUGAGGUCCAUGAUGCUGACUUUCAUUGUGCUUCCUGCCCUGAUAUUUUCCAUAGCAAACUCACAGGAUGCAGAAGAAACGAUCACAUACACGGUACAGUUGAAUCUG